rnacentral:rRNA from 1 species
GACGAACGCUGGCGGCGUGCUUAACACAUGCAAGUCGAACGGUAAGGCCCUUCGGGGUACACGAGUGGCGAACGGGUGAGUAACACGUGGGUGAUCUGCCUUGCACUUCGGGAUAAGCCUGGGAAACUGGGUCUAAUACCGGAUAGGACCCUGGGAUGCAUGUCCUGGGGUGGAAAGCUUUGGCGGUGUGGGAUGGGCCCGCGGCCUAUCAGCUUGUUGGUGGGGUGAUGGCCUACCAAGGCGACGACGGGUAGCCGGCCUGAGAGGGUGACCGGCCACACUGGGACUGAGAUACGGCCCAGACUCCUACGGGAGGCAGCAGUGGGGAAUAUUGCACAAUGGGCGCGAGCCUGAUGCAGCGACGCCGCGUGAGGAUGACGGCCUUCGGGUUAUAAACCUCUUUCAGCACCGACGAAGCGCAAGUGACGGUAGGUGCAGAAGAAGGACCGGCCAACUACGUGCCAGCAGCCGCAGUAA